GACGAGGUGUAGCGAAGUCUGGUCAGCGCAUUUGUUUUGGGUACAGAGGGCCAUAGGUUCGAAUCCUAUCACCUUGUUG
rnacentral:tRNA from 1 species